AGAGUUUGAUCCUGGCUCAGAUUGAACGCUGGCGGCAUGCUUUACACAUGCAAGUCGAACGGUAACAGCACUUCGGUAGCUGACGAGUGGCGAACGGGUGAGUAAUACAUCGGAACGUGCCUAGUAGUGGGGGAUAACUACUCGAAAGAGUAGCUAAUACCGCAUGAGAUCUACGGAUGAAAGCAGGGGACCUUCGGGCCUUGUGCUACUAGAGCGGCUGAUGGCAGAUUAGGUAGUUGGUGGGGUAAAGGCUCACCAAGCCAACGAUCUGUAGCUGGUCUGAGAGGACGACCAGCCACACUGGAACUGAGACACGGUCCAGACUCCUACGGGAGGCAGCAGUGGGGAAUUUUGGACAAUGGGCGCAAGCCUGAUCCAGCAAUGCCGCGUGCAGGAUGAAGGCCUUCGGGUUGUAAACUGCUUUUGUACAGAACGAAAAGUCUUGGGUUAAUACCCUGGGAUCAUGACGGUACUGUAAGAAUAAGCACCGGCUAACUACGUGCCAGCAGCCGCGGUAAUACGUAGGGUGCAAGCGUUAAUCGGAAUUACUGGGCGUAAAGCGUGCGCAGGCGGUUAUGUAAGACAGAGGUGAAAUCCCCGGGCUCAACCUGGGAACGGCCUUUGUGACUGCAUAGCUAGAGUACGGUAGAGGGGGAUGGAAUUCCGCGUGUAGCAGUGAAAUGCGUAGAUAUGCGGAGGAACACCGAUGGCGAAGGCAAUCCCCUGGACCUGUACUGACGCUCAUGCACGAAAGCGUGGGGAGCAAACAGGAUUAGAUACCCUGGUAGUCC
rnacentral:rRNA from 1 species